GUAGGGGGCGAGCGUUGUCCGAAUUUACUGGGCGUAAAGCGCGCGUAGGCGGACCUUUAAGUUGGUGGUGAAAUGCCGAGGCUCAACCUCGGAACUGCCUUCAAAACUGGGGGUCUGGAGGUAUGGAGAGGGAAGUGGAAUUCCUGGUGUAGCGGUGAAAUGCGUAGAUAUCAGGAGGAACACCUGUGGCGAAGGCGACUUCCUGGCCAUAUCCUGACGCUGAGGUGCGAAAGCUAGGGUAGCGAACGGGAUUAGAUACCCCGGGUAGUCCUAGCCGUAAACGAUGGAUACUAGGUGUUAUAGGUAUCGACCCCCCUGUAGUGCCGAAGCUAACGCAUUAAGUAUCCCGCCUGGGGAGUACGACCGCAAGGUUG
rnacentral:rRNA from 1 species